rnacentral:rRNA from 1 species
GUGAGGAAUAUUGGUCAAUGGGCGGGAGCCUGAACCAGCCAAGUCGCGUGAAGGAAGAAGGAUCUAUGGUUCGUAAACUUCUUUUGCAGGGGAAUAAAGUGCGGGACGUGUCCUGUUUUGUAUGUACCCUGAGAAUAAGGAUCGGCUAACUCCGUGCCAGCAGCCGCGGUAAUACGGAGGAUCCGAGCGUUAUCCGGAUUUAUUGGGUUUAAAGGGUGCGUAGGUGGUUUGAUAAGUCAGCGUUGAAAGUUUGCAGCUUAACUGUAAAAAUGCCGUUGAAACUGUCGGACUUGAGUGUAAAUGAGGUAGGCGGAAUGCGUGGUGUAGCGGUGAAAUGCAUAGAUAUCACGCAGAACUCCGAUUGCGAAGGCAGCUUACUAAGCUACAACUGACACUGAAGCACGAAAGCGUGGGGAUCAAACAGGAUUAGAAACCCGGGUAGUCC